CGCGAAUUCGCCCUUUAGUAGUUUGAUCCUGGCUCAGAACGUACGCUGGCGGCACGCCUAACACAUGCAAGUCGAACGCAGUAGCAAUACUGAGUGGCAAACGGGUGAGUAUAAUGUGGGAAUCUGCCUUUUGGUUUGGAAUAACACGAGGAAACUUGUGCUAAUACCGGAUAAGCCUUCACAGGGAAAGUUUUAACGCCGAAAGAUGAGCCCGCACUUGAUUAGCUAGUUGGUGAGGUAAAAGCUCACCAAGGCAACGAUCAAUAGCUGUUCUUAGAGGAAGACCAGCCACAUUGGGACUGAGACACGGCCCAGACUCCUACGGGAGGCAGCAGUGGGGAAUCUUGCACAAUGGGGGAAACCCUGAUGCAGCGAUGCCGCGUGAGUGAAGAAGGCCCUUGGGUUGUAAAACUCUUUCGUCGGGGAAGAAAAUGACUGUACCCGAAUAAGAAGGUCCGGCUAACUUCGUGCCAGCAGCCGCGGUAAUACGAAGGGACCUAGCGUAGUUCGGAAUUACUGGGCUUAAAGAGCUCGUAGGUGGUUAAAAAAGUUGAUGGUGAAAUCCCAAGGCUCAACCUUGGAACUGCCCUCAAAACUUUUUAGCUAGAGUGUGAUAGAGGAAAGUGGAAUUUCUAGUGUAGAGGUGAAAUUCGUAGAUAUUAGAAAGAACACCAAAAGCGAAGGCAACUUUCUGGGUCACUACUGACACUGAGGAGCGAAAGCAUGGGUAGCGAAGAGGAUUAGAUACCCUCGUAGUCCAUGCUGUAAACGAUGUGUGCUAGACGUUGGAAAUAUAUUUUUCAGUAUCGCAGCGAAAGCAUUAAGCACACCGCCUGGGGAGUACGACCGCAAGGUUAAAACUCAAAUGAAUUGACGGGGACCCGCACAAGUAGUGGAGCAUGUGGUUUAAUUCGAAGAUACGCGCAGAACCUUACCAACACUUGACAUGUUCGUCGCGACUUUAAGAGAUUAAAGUUUUCGGUUCGGCCGGACGAAACACAGGUGCUGCAUGGCUGUCGUCAGCUCGUGUCGUGAGAUGUUGGGUUAAGUCCCGCAACGAGCGCAACCCUCACUUUUAGUUGCCAUCAUUUAGUUGGGCACUCUGAAAGAACUGCCAGUGAUAAGCUGGAGGAAGGUGGGGAUGACGUCAAGUCCUCAUGGCCCUUACGUGUUGGGCUACACACGUGCUACAAUGAUAUUUACAACAGGAAGCAAAACGGCGACGUUAAGCAAAUCCUUAAAAAAUAUCUCAGUUCGGAUUGCACUCUGCAACUCGAGUGCAUGAAGCUGGAAUUACUAGUAAUCGUGGAUCAGCGUGCCACGGUGAAUGCGUUCCCGGGUCUUGCACACAC
rnacentral:rRNA from 1 species